rnacentral:rRNA from 2 species
UACGGAGGGUGCAAGCGUUAUCCGGAUUUACUGGGUUUAAAGGGUGCGUAGGUGGGUCUGUAAGUCAGUGGUGAAAUCUUCGAGCUUAACUCGGAAACUGCCAUUGAUACUAUAGGUCUUGAAUCAUCUGGAGGUGAGCGGAAUAUGUCAUGUAGCGGUGAAAUGCUUAGAUAUGACAUAGAACACCGAUUGCGAAGGCAGCUCACUACGGAUGUAUUGACACUGAGGCACGAAAGCGUGGGGAUCAAACAGG